GGGUGGGCAAAAAAAUCCAUAUUUUGGAUUUUAAACCAAAUCCAAACCAAACCAUUUUAAAAAAACCAGUUUUAAACCAAAAAAAAUCCAAACCAAAUUACAUUUAUUUUAUAAUUUGGUUUUUGAUCCAAUCCAUUUAAAUGGUUUUAAAUCCGGAUCCAAAUCCAGAUCCAAAUUAAGAUCCGGAUCUAAAAAAACCCUAAUUGAGUCUUCUCCUCUUCGACAAAUCCAUUCAAAAAAACCAAAUCCACUCUUCGCCACCGUCAACAUUUCUUCCUCUCUGCCUCUCGUCGGAGCUCGCCGGUGGUUCGUCGGCCUCUACCUCUUCGAGUCUAUAGUCUUCACUUUGAUUCGAGACUCUGUCUCUCUGCCUCAACCUCCCAUUCGCGACUCUGUCUUCUCUCUUUUUCGGUUCUCUUCUUCUUUCGUUGGUGGCUCGCCGGAGCUCAUGCUCAUCAAUUGAGGGCUUCCUAUCAUGAUAGGUUAAUUGAACCCCAUUAAGUUUUCUAUUUUAACCUUAUCUGUUGUUGUAUCUGGUAAUGAAACCUUGUAGCAUGUUGAUAUAAUCGUUAUAGUGGUGUAAAUUUUACA